rnacentral:rRNA from 1 species
UACGUAGGGAGCAAGCGUUGUCCGGAUUUAUUGGGCGUAAAGAGCGUGUAGGCGGCUUUGCAAGUCCGUUGUGAAAACUCGAGGCUCAACCUCGAGACGCCGGUGGAAACUGCAAAGCUAGAGUCCGGAAGAGGAGAGUGGAAUUCCUGGUGUAGCGGUGAAAUGCGCAGAUAUCAGGAAGAACACCCGUGGCGAAGGCGGCUCUCUGGGACGGUACUGACGCUGAGACGCGAAAGCGUGGGGAGCGAACAGG